GUUGUAGUGAGUUCAUUUGAUCACAGAGUAUUCGAUCGUCUGCUCCUGUGUACAUCCCUGAACAUUCGUUGCUCAACCUCUCAUCUUUAAUAGACGGUACUGAUAUAUCGGAGAACAGCAAGAAUGGUUAAAGUUGUUAUUGGGAUCGCAUUGGUAGUGCUGAUGCUGGUGGAGGGAGCUAACAGCAGAUGUGCAUCAACAGGCCAGACGUGUGGUAGGGACACGCACUGCUGUCACUCACUCGAAACCUGUCUGACGUCACGUCAGGAAAUAGGCGGAAACCUAAUCGUCAGAAAUUUCUGCAGAAAUGUGCGACUUGACCAGGCGGAUGGCACUCCGCUUUUAUCGGACGGUGAACCAUGCACCGACAGCAUCCGUUGCCAGAGUAUGUGUUGCCAAGAUUUAACAGCUAACCACAAAAGAUACAUGAACAAGUGCGGCCCACAAAGGGACGAAAUCAUGCCAUGGCGCAACUGCCUCACUCUACCACGCUAAAAAAUAAACCGGGAGUGAUCUCCC